AGCGAGUUGAAGUAGCUGAAAAUGUUAAACAAGUUGAAGGAUGCAACUUUAAACAGUGUGUAGUCUUUGGAUUGUCUGGCACAAUAUUUUGUUUAGCAUUUCAUGCACACAAAGAGGUGGCGAUCAUUAUAUCAUUGAAGAAAUAUUUCACUCAACUGAAAUGAAUUGUUUGAAGUUUGAAGGUGUCCGUGAAGACCGUGCAAAACAAGUUGAAGAAAAUAUUAGUUUUAUCUAGGUGAUUGAAAGAUGUUUUCAUUUGUACACAUAAUAUAAUUCUAUUUUCUUAUUAUUGUUUUUGGGAGUUUAUAUGACUAA